ACGAACUGCGCCAGGCCGGGGCUGCCGGGACCCCCGGCCCGGGACCACCCGCCCCGUGCGGAGGCAGCGAAGCGACCGCCAGCGCUGCCGGUGCUUUGCUGUGAGGCACCGACACACACGACGAGAAACUGACAGUAUUUUAAAACUUACAGGAUUUGCCGAGUGUCGCGUUCUGUUUGAUUUUGGCAACUGUCUCACGGUGAAUGAAACCUGGUGUCACCAAUUUCCACUCACAAAAUGGAGCUACAGAAUCCUGCAUUCUGAAGACUGAAGAAACAAAGCAGUGAGGAAGCAACCAACAUAAUUCUUAUAAGAAGAGGACUUAGAAAAUGCCCAUUUACAAAAGGAUGCAGAGAUGCUUCACCAGUAUGUCCGCACAGGACCAACCUCUCCACAGCCAGGGACAGUGCCUGAAUGAAGGCUUCGCGAAUGAAGAUCUGGGGAUAUUUGACCUGACAUACUCUAUGAUAUAAUAUCAAUGAGAGGAAUUCAGACUUCAGUACUACUAAAUAGGUUAGUUUGUUCUCUCCUUGCCUUAUUUCCAUUGGUAAAUUUAAGGGUUUUCAGGUUGUUUGGGGUUGACUUGUUUUAAAAUAGUAACAUCUUGAAAAAAAGACUGGAAAUAUCUUGUCUUAUUUAGUUUUGUCAAAGUAAGGAACUCUGUUAAUGAGGUCAUUCCUAUUAUGCAACUACUGGCAUCUAACUCAGGCUUUCUGAAUUCCCUCUGGACAGAUUAUUUCUAAGGAUACAAGGGAAUUGGCAUCUCAAACUCAUCUGUUUGCGGUAAUACAUCAGCACAGAUAACUGAAGAGGAUAGUUUUAAUACUUUCCUUUCCGAAACUGCAAUAAAAUUUGUUGAAGACAGUGAAAGAACUAUUUUAAAUUUAGACUUAGAAACUGUGAGGAAAGGAAUAAUCAUGCCAGAGUAAAUGAAAACCUUUCCAAUAGAUAUCCAAUCCUGAAAUUAAAAUGAUCCAGCGUAAAUCUCAUCUAAAGUGCAAAAUGUUCACUUUCUUUCACAUUUGCUCAUACCUUCACUGCAUAAAGGAUUAGUUCUAUUGAAUAUGAUUGGGAUUAUCUGAACUGAGCUUUGUCUCCUUCCUAAAUUGAAUUACAGAAAAAUUGGUGAGUUUUCAUGAAAUCUCUCAACUGGACUUUGCUCCAAACCCACGCCUGAGCUCACAUGAGCAUCCAAAUUCCUAAACAGUUUAAGACAACUGUCCGAUAUUUGCUUAUUUUUGCCAAUCUGGCUUCUACAGCCCACCCUCUGGCCUUUUCAGGUGCAGUUAGCUAGAAUGAGUAAAUCAUAACAUAUUUGUUAAGAUGCUGUUUUUUAAAGGAGAACCAGAAAAGUUUAAUUUUCUUUUUCUUUUUUUAUUGUUGAUUAAAGUACUUGGACUAAAGACCAUUUUAUUGCAGGUAUCAAAUAUGUAUCAUAGUACAAAUAACAGUAAAUGCUAG